AUUUAAAUAAUUUAAAUAAAAAUAUUGAUUUGUGGAGUCAAAAAUAUGAUGAAAAUCAUUUUAAGUU
rnacentral:tRNA from 1 species